CCUACGGGGGGCAGCAGUGAGGAAUAUUGGUCAAUGGACGAGAGUCUGAACCAGCCAAGUAGCGUGAAGGAUGACUGCCCUAUGGGUUGUAAACUUCUUUUAUAUGGGAAUAAAACGUUCCACGUGUGGGAUUUUGUAUGUACCAUAUGAAUAAGGAUCGGCUAAAUCCGUGCCAGCAGCCGCGGUAAUACGGAGGAUCCGAGCGUUAUCCGGAUUUAUUGGGUUUAAAGGGAGCGUAGGUGGAUUGUUAAGUCAGUUGUGAAAGUUUGCGGCUCAACCGUAAAAUUGCAGUUGAAACUGGCAGUCUUGAGUACAGUAGAGGUGGGCGGAAUGCGUGGUGUAGCGGUGAAAUGCUUAGAUAUCACGAAGAACUCCGAUUGCGAAGGCAGUUCACUGGACUGCAACUGACACUGAGGCUCGAAAGUGUGGGUAUCAAACAGGAUUAGAUACCCUAGUAGUC
rnacentral:rRNA from 1 species